AUUGAACGCUGGCGGCAGGCGUAACACAUGCAAGUCGAGCGAGAGGCGGACGGGUGAGUAAUGACUGGGAAACUGCCUGAUGGAGGGGGAUAACUACUGGAAACGGUAGCUAAUACCGCACACCAUCAGAUGUGCCCAGAUGGGAUUCGGUGGGAGGGGUGGUAAUGGCUACCCUAGUCGACGAUCCCUAGCUGGUCUGAGAGGAUGACCAGCCACCCUGGAACUGAGACACGGUCCAGACGCCUACGGGAGGCAGCAGUGGGGAAUAUUGCACAAUGGGAGCAAGCAGGAUGCAGCCAUGCCGCGUGUGUGAAGAAGGCCUUAGGGUUGUAAAGCACUUUCAGCGAGGAGGCGUUACUCGCAGAAGAAGCACCGGCUAACUCCGUGCCAGCAGCCGCGGUAAUUC
rnacentral:rRNA from 1 species